ensembl:lncRNA
CCAAGACCAAAGAGCUGUCAAAGGACACCAGAAACAAAAUUGUAGACCUGCACCAGGCUGGGAAGACUGCAUCUGCAAUAGAGAGCGAGCUGACCAAGGGAUCGAAAAUGUAGAUAUUGCCAGAUGUUCACUGUCCGAGGAACAGGCCGUGGAAGCUUUAUUGCUGGCAAAAGUGUCCAUAACCAGAGACUUCACCCUCCGAAACACCUCUGAUGAAUAUAAACAGGAAACUUGUUCGAUCACCAUGCACCGCAAAAUCAUUCUGGCUAUAGAUACAGAGAACAUCAACACAUUAUCAUCAACAUGCCAGAGGAUAUACCAACUGGACUUGGGUCUCUGCUGGGAGUUUCCC